GACGAACGCUGGCGGCGUGCUUAACACAUGCAAGUCGAACGGAAAGGCCCUGCUUGCAGGGUACUCGAGUGGCGAACGGGUGAGUAACACGUGGGUGAUCUGCCCUGCACUUCGGGAUAAGCCUGGGAAACUGGGUCUAAUACCGGAUAGGAGCCAUUUUUAGUGUGAUGGUUGGAAAGUUUUUUCGGUGUAGGAUGAGCUCGCGGCCUAUCAGCUUGUUGGUGGUGUAAUGGCCUACCAAGGCGGCGACGGGUAGCCGGCCUGAGAGGGUGGACGGCCACAUUGGGACUGAGAUACGGCCCAGACUCCUACGGGAGGCAGCAGGGGGGAAUAUUGCACAAUGGGCGCAAGCCUGAUGCAGCGACGCCGCGUGGGGGAUGACGGCCUUCGGGUUGUAAACUCCUUUCGCUAGGGACGAAGCUUUUUGUGACGGUACCUAGAUAAGAAGCACCGGCUAACUACGUG
rnacentral:rRNA from 1 species